GACGAACGCUGGCGGCGGGCUUAACACAUGCAAGUCGAACGGAGUGGCGAACGGGUGUGUAACACGUGGGUGAUCUGCCUUGCACGCUGUGAUAAGCUUGGGCAACUGGCUCUAAUACCGGAUAGUGCAAGAUGAGCUUGCGGCCUAUCAGCUUGUUGGUGGGGUAAUGGCCUACCGAGGCGUCGACGGGUAGCCGGCCUGGGAGGGUGUACGGCGACACUGGGACUGAGGUACGGCCCAGGGGCGUACGGGAGGCAGCAGGGGGGAAUAUUGCACAAUGGGCGGAAGGCUGUUGCAGAGGCGCCGCGUGGGGGAUGACGGCUUUAGGGUUGUAAACUCGUAUCGACAGGGACGCGGUACCUGUAUAAGAAGCACCGGCUAACUACGUGCCAGCCGCCGCGGUAAUAC
rnacentral:rRNA from 1 species